CACACACUGUCUUGUCGCAAACUCACUCCAAAAAUUGUGAUUUUAAUUAUUAUUUAUUUACAUAUGAUUAAAAACUGACGUAAUUAACUUAAAGUUUAUGGUUACAAUUGAAGUAUCAUAUCAUUUUCUGGUGAAUCGAAAAAUAUACGAUAGCAAAUUUGAAGAGCAUGCUGGAGGAAAAAAUAAGUGAAUAGAAAUAGAGAUGGUGCCUCGAACAGGAAUUGAUAUAAGAAAAACAGAAGUCAGUGUGAAUGCACUCGGCCGGUGUACCUCUGUGAGGUUAGUGAUCGAGGAGGAGAGUCUCUGUAGCGAGCUCCUCCGUUGCGAGGUGACUAUCUUCCGCACUACAUUCAAGGGUCGUCGCAGCCCUAGCAUUUGCGUGCCGAAGAACGAGUCGGCCGUCUCUUCAGCGUCGUAUUCCUGAACGGGUUCCACCUUGAAAUCAAACAACACGCUCGACGCUACGCCAAGCCACGCCCACUGAGUCCGUAUGCGUGCGUGUCCACCAAUGGCGACACGGAUUAUUGCUAAUACUACUUCACCUUGUAUAUCUUAAUAAAUAGUAUUUUUAGUG